UCCAUCUCUCCUCCUGAUGCUGCCCUCCAACCUCCAUCCGAGAUCCCGCGGCAUGCUAGGUCGCCGCUCCGGCUGGCCGGCUGGGAGGUGCGUGCCAUCCUCUCCUCAUGGAUCUUCCUCGGCUUCGGCUCCGUCCCUGGCCUCCCAGGCGGAUACAUGGUGGUGGCCUCCCCAUGGUCCAAGGUGGCACGCCUGCAGCUGACGCUGGAUAGCUUCCUACCCUGUUGCGCUCCAUCCUAAUCGACUCCCCUCGGCCUUCCCCAGCUUUGGCCCUGGCAGCAGGUCCCCUCCACCUGCCCCACAGCCGCGGUUCCUGCCUCGCUACUUCAGUUUCAAGUUGUUCCUUGCGAAGGUACACAUCGCAUCUGCAUUUCCUCUCCUCUGGUCUACGUGGUUUCCUUAAACAAGUAGAUGAGUUAUUAGUAUUACAAGUUCAUCAGAUCUAAAGUUGGGUGCAUAUGCUACAAAUUCUUAAUCUAAGAAGAAUAUUCAGGUGUUGCGUGCAGGUCUGUGGUGAGGACACAAAUUUGGGGGUCCAGGUCCUUGCGUGAAUGUGCAAGGAAUUUAGAGCCUGCAUCUUUAAUAUAACAUAUUAUAUUUCUCUCCAUUAAGUUGUGUUCCAUUUUCUUGAUGGAAGUAAUUCUGGUUUAAUUUCACAUGAUGUUUAAACAAAUAAACACAUGAUGUGCUGAAACCUUUUUUUAGAAAAGGAGGAUGACCCUCGGCCUCUGCAUCUGGGCGAUGCAUACGGCCACUUUAUUAAUUAUUAACACAAAACCUUACAAAGCCAUACAACAGCAAGACUAAAGCCACCGUCUAAGCAACAAUUGUCGCUACAUCUAUCCAAUUGAUAAAGGGGCGCAGAUAGUCUGGGCCUAAUACCAAACAGACAUCGCAGCCAAACCUAAACAUCUAAGACCUAAGGUCCCAACCAGAACGCCUGCCGGGUAUAGGGCACCUACCAGUCCGGCGCACUCCUCAACCUAUGAGGCCGCCGCAGCCACCUGCCACAAAUCCAUCUUCAGAGCUAUACUGUUGUAUGUACCGUGCCAGGUCUCUCUGCCAUCGACGCCACCACGACGCCCGACAGCAUCGUCCUCCUGCGCGAGUCCAUCCUCCCACAGCGAACUCCGAAUCUGCACUGCGCCACGCUGUCAAGAUCCGUCGCCAUCAGUGUGUAGGAUGAAGCACCGCUCCACCAAAGAAUCCAUCCUCUGUUCCCUCGAUCACGUGUGUACCUCCAAAAAUGACGCCCCCAAGGGAGGAACGACACCAGAGCGCCGCCGUCAUCCGAUCAUCCGAGCUAGGGUUUCCCCCGGAGGUAGCAGAGAGUGGCCUUGAACUUCUCCACGGCGAUGACUUCAAGAAGGGAACGACGCAGAUAGCGCCGCCAUCGCCGGCCUUAGCAGAAGCCGAAGGCAAGUUUUCACCCAGAUCAGUUCGAAGGAAUCCAACUCUCGUGCACGGGCCACCGUCACCACCAGCACCACCAGGCAGACCCUGGAGUACCGGCAGAUUAGCGAGCCACCGGCACCACCGCAUCCAGAUCGCCGGCCACACAGGGCCGCCGCCAUCCCCCGCGUCGUCCGGGUCAGAGACGGAGCCGCCGACCGCGCACAGGGACCGCCGCCGCCUGCACACGCCGGAGCGCCGCCGAGGUCCCAGCGCCCGCCACCGCUUACCGACGCCAACCUCCGCCCGAGCACUGGCGCCACCGUGGAGCCAUUAGAUCAGGGAGGGAGACAUCGCGCGCCGACCACCCUCGCGGACCCCGCCGCACGCCUGAGCGCCGGCGCCACCGCGACGCCAUCAGAUCAGGAGGAGGAGGAGCCCGCGCCUCGCCGCCCCCCGCAGACCACGCCGCCGCCAUCGCCGCAGCGCCACCAAAGGGGAGUCCCGCAGAUCCGCCGGUGACCCGACCUGCCGCCGAGCCGAGCGCCGCCGCAAGGGCCGGCCGGCCCGCGCCGCCCAGGAGCCUCGCGAGGAGGGAGGAAGCCCCGCCGCCACCGACGCACGCGCGGGCUUUGCCCGUCGGCGUCCCCUGGCGACGGCGAGGGAGAAGGACGGCGAAGGAAGGGAACGGCACGGGGGACGGGACAUGAUGUGCUGAAUAGCUGACAUACAUAGGAAAUGUUACAUCUUGAUGACUAUUGCAGUACUACAUUAUUCUCAGGUAUUUGUUGUUCCUUUUGUGAUAGUUUUCUCUCUCCUAAAAGUAGAAUGGAUCAUUUUUAAUCCUUUGAGCAAGGUUGCCCAAAGUAGGGCGCUCAGCCAUUGAGGCAUUAUCAAUUUCUUUAAGAAGCUUCACAAAAUCUUCUCUUAUACUAAAAAGAUCUAAUGUAGGUUUGUUAGCCUUAUAGGGUACUAUAUACUGAAGACAUGAUAUUAAAUAUACAGUACAUUGCACUGUGAAGUGAGUAUCUAUAUACUUUCGUUUCGGAAAAAAGUAUGUAUAUACUAUCCACACAUGAUUGCCAUUUUUAGAGCUGUCGCUGGGAUCAUCAUGGAUUGGGAUGCAUUCUGAUAAUAAGAUAUUAGGGUAUUGAUAUGUGAUCUGUAUGUCACACUUGACUUCAUCAUCCUUUGUUUUCAGAUGUAUUCUUUAGGCAUACACUAAUGUGGCAGCUUGGUCAUAUUCUGUAGCUAAUUUAGUCACCACAAUACUCGGAUUUUUUUUCCCGACUCUCAGUAUAAAGAACUUCCACUUGCCAUCUCUAUAUGGAUUUUCUUUUUGCUACUGAUGAUUUUGGCUAAGGGUUUUUCGGCUUUCCUCUCUAUAUGGAUAUGCUUUUUUCAGGUUAGUAGUUUAGGAGUUUUUUUCAACACUGGCUUUUGGAAGUUAUGCUCGCUUCACCAGUAGGUCUUAACAAGGACAUAAUUAAUUCUCGGUUGGUAAUUAGAAAAAAAAUUGUUGGAGAAAACAUAUCUUUUGCGUAGUUAUUGCUUCUGAAUUUUACUAAUCUUUUUUCAUUUUCUUUUUUUUCCAGGUUAGUAGUAUGGGAGUUCCUAUCAAGACUGACAUUUGGAAGUUAUGCUAGCUUCAUCAGUUAUACAAAACUAGACUCAAUGUAAUUUAUUUUGGUGCUUGCAAUGAGUAUUAGACAGAGGGAUGAUGAACACAUACUUCACCCAGUGUAUAGCCAUGGUGACAAAAAAAAUUAGACAGAAAAACUCGGUCUGUAUGGUGUUUGUGAUGAUGCUAUCAAUUCACUAAACGCUAAAAUGCCAGGUUGUGAGUGUCAAAUCUAGCAAACUAAUUUUCUUUAUUGCUUUUUAUCCAAACAGAAGUAUUAGUCUAUUCUGUGCCAAGAGUCUUACUGUCAAAAGAAUAUAUGGUAGCAUCAGAUUGCCUCCAUCAGAUAGAACAAUGGCUA
rnacentral:lncRNA from 1 species